rnacentral:pre_miRNA from 7 species
CAAACGUACCUCCAAGGGGUCUUUCGAUCUCGCUGGGGCCUCCAAAUGAAAGAACCUAGUGGGGAAACCCCCACUCAAUUUCCGAUUCAACGUGCACCCAAGAAUCACGAACAGACGA